ACGAGGAGCGGUCAUCAUAUGUUGAGGAAAUCUAUGAUGCGACGAAUUGUAUUCGCCACAUACUCUGAUCUCUGUUCUCUUCGAAGAUGAUUGAUAGGGCCUCUCAACCAUCGGUAGUGUCCCAUACCAGGGCGGGAAGACCACCUAGUUAUUGGAUCAUUAUUGAGGCCUUCAUAACUUCCUUCGAAUAGAAUAUUCGGAACACCAUCAGGAGUUGUUCUUACCUCUAGCAAAAUCACCAAACAUCGGGAGUCCCUUCCCAAAUCGUGAUACCAAACGCGUUGUAUCUCACCAUCUGUUCGAGGAAGAACAUGUCGUUCUUGAAGAUCUUCAUCUCGAUUGCGUCGUCUUGAAGGUUGUGACAAUCGUAAUGUCUCGUC
rnacentral:lncRNA from 1 species